UACAUGGGGUGCAAACGUUGCUCGGAAUUAUUGGGCGUAAAGCGCACGUAGGCGGUUCGUUAAGUCGGAUGUGAAAGCCCUCGGCUCAACUGAGGAAGUGCACCCGAAACUGGCGAGCUUGAGUACGAAAGAGGAUCGCGGAAUUCCCGGUGUAGAGGUGAAAUUCGUAGAUAUCGGGGAGGAACACCGGUGGCGAAGGCGGCGAUCUGGGUCGAUACUGACGCUGAGGAGCGAAAGCGUGGGGAGCGAACAGG
rnacentral:rRNA from 1 species